rnacentral:snoRNA from 1 species
UUUUUAAUGAUGAUACGAUGACGAGUAUGAAAAAGUAAAGAGGAUUUAUUACCCGUUUUUAAGUACAUGUUUUAUGUAUUUUCUAAUUUGUAAUAAAUCCAUUUCUUUAUUUUUAACGAAUGAUUAUUUGAGGCAUUUGGCUGAAAAA